AGUCAGACCCCUGUGCAGGAUGUGAUAGGAAGGUGUUGGAAGGCAAACAGCUGUGCCUGAACUGUUUGCAGAAAGUGGCCGCCCCAGCAUCCUUAACGCCCUCUCAGUCACCAGAUAUCCUGGCUUGGAUCAGACAGGAGGUGGGCCAGGGCAUUUCAGAAGCUAUGGAAGCAAGUAAACGGUCAGUGAAAAGGUCCAGACAGAGACUAGUAUCCUCAGAGUCAUCAGCCUCAGGAUACCAGGAUUCAGC